rnacentral:rRNA from 1 species
UGGGCAACCUGCCCCAGACACAGGGAUAACCCCGGGAAACCAGGGCUAAUACCGGAUACUCCGGUCGAGCCGCAUGACUCGAUCGGGAAAGCUCCGACGGUCUGGGAUGGGCCCGCGGCCUAUCAGCUUGUUGGUGGGGUAACGGCCUACCAAGGCGACGACGGGUAGCUGGUCUGAGAGGACGACCAGCCACACUGGAACUGAGACACGGCCCAGACUCCUACGGGAG